AAGAAUUAAAGGUAGACCAACGCCGGAGCUAAAAGGUUUGCUUUUGACUUCGGGACAGAAGACCCGUUCUUUUCAAACGGCGUGGGACACACGCAAAGGCUGGCUGUGUGGAUGUCCAGCAAGAAAGCCAUUAACCUCACCGCACGUCACUGGUGUAACGGUACCGUGGCAUGAUGAUGCUGGCGGUCGUCCUUCCAGGAUGCGGCGGAACGUCAGGAAGCAGCUUGCAGCUCCCUCUCAGCUAACGUGAGCGGUGCGGGGCCCGAGCAGGACGACACGUGAUGCCAGUAACCCGACAGGCAGACCUCCUCCUACAGGAUGGAGUUACAAGCCAAACACUUCGAAAAUCAGUAUAAGUUACAGACUACGCACACGUCACUGCAAAGCAAGAAGACGCCGAACCUGCACUGUUCCAAACAUCUCGUACUUGACGUGACCUCCACCAAACUCCUUCUUCACUGUGGCCCUCGUUGCCGCAUACAUCAUCUUCUCUUUCACCUACAGCCAAUGCAGGAAACACUUGAAAUGUAUGCAGUACUACUACAGUAUAUACAGGCUAUAUGCACUCUUAGAUAGCUCCAAUCAGUCAUCGAUUAGAAUGAACAAUUACCUUAGUAUCAAUAAAAGGAUCAAUAUAGAAAUGUGCUUUAUUCGUAUUUUUAAUAAAUACAUAAAAUAAACAAGA